rnacentral:rRNA from 1 species
AUUGAACGCUGGCGGCAUGCCUAACACAUGCAAGUCGAACGGCAGCACAGCAGUAGCAAUACUGUGGGUGGCGAGUGGCGGACGGGUGAGGAAUACGUCGGAAUCUGCCCAGUCGUGGGGGAUAACUAGCCGAAAGGUUAGCUAAUACCGCAUACGACCGAGAGGUGAAAGCGGGGGACCGCAAGGCCUCGCGCGAUUGGAUGAGCCGACGUCGGAUUAGCUAGUUGGCGGGUAAAGGCCCACCAAGGCGACGAUCCGUAGCUGGUCUGAGAGGAUGAUCAGCCACACUGGAACUGAGACACGGUCCAGACUCCUACGGGAGGCAGCAGUGGGGAAUAUUGGACAAUGGGCGCAAGCCUGAUCCAGCAAUGCCGCGUGUGUGAAGAAGGCCUCGGUU